AUGUAGCACUCGUACACUGCGAUCCUGCGCGCCGUCCGCACCUGACGACUGCUCGCGAGGUCUGGUUAGCC
rnacentral:sRNA from 1 species